rnacentral:sRNA from 1 species
GGAUGCGAGGGCGAUCCAGCUGUGAUAGCUGGCAUCCCACUGAGCAAGCUUGAGGACUGAUCUGGUUGAUCUGCCUAGCUAGGUGGGGGUCCCCUUCCUCCCUCACAGUUCCUGGUGCAUCCCUUGUCCCCUCCCCCCAAGCAGCUGCAUCAAGGAGGACGGUCUUCCCAAACAGAGGAGGACAAGGGUGUAGGAGCUGCGACCCCCCACUGUAAACUCCAAUCCAGCUCAAUCAGGGUCACCUGCUCGAGACCCCCUCCAGCUCACGAGCUUUCCGUUUACUUCCUAAAACCAGUCUUGUUUG